CAAUGCUGUCCCUUCUGUGUCGGAAAUACCGAGAUGGCGCAAGUUGAUUAGAGUUGUGAUGCAAUUUGGCAAACGUUUAAGAUUGUCACAAGGAAGAAAAACUCUAUUGGAAAGCUCCAAAUUAGCCUCUGACACCUAAGAGGAAACAAGAACAUCCCCCGCAUACCGACUGACUCUGAAGAAGGUGCAAAGCAAGCACAAGGUUAGCCAGCCUAAGUUAGCUGAAGCUUCAAGCUUGGGGAAUUCCUUUCCCUGAACCCACCAAGAUUAUGCUACCUCGUGGACAUAAACAAUCGGAGGACUGGAGGGGAUACUGAAAUCAAUAGCUCAACCGCAUCAUAGUUCAAUAGACUCACCUUCAUAAUCACAUAAGCGAGCCAGCAUGCACAGGGAACUUAGAGAAGCAUGCAUAUGAGAGAACAAAAGCAGUGAUAUUAUGAUGCAAAUCAUUUCACUUGAGGAGAAAUCCAGAUAAAAUCACUUUCAGCUUUCAAUAUUCAAUGAGUCAUAAAAUGAGCCUGACAGAAUAAACAAUUUCACUAGAUGCCACCUGGCAGUAAAUGAUUUCACUUGAGUUGCCCGGCUAAAGAACAUAGGGCAAAACCAUGCAGUGAUAUAGAUGUUGUUUAACCCAUUGUUGUGUAUUCUUGAUGACUGAUGGCACCAUAUUAUCAUCAAUCAAGAAAAAGCAUCUGAAAUUUGAAGGGGCAAAAAAAAAAAAAAAAAAAAAAGGAUAAA